rnacentral:piRNA from 1 species
UGUCCUGUGAGCUCUCUGCCAGUGUC